GGAGUGGGCCACGCGUCCGCUCCCGCGCAAGCGGGGGAGGAAAGUCCGAGCUCCAUAGGGCAGGGCGCUGGGUAACACCCAGGCGGGGCGACCCGACGGAAAGUGGCACAGAAACACACCGCCCUGCAUCGCUUUGGCGAAGCGGGGCAAGGGUGAAAUGGUGCGGUAAGAGCGCACCAGCGGUGUGGCAACACACCGGCUGGCCAAACCCCGCCCGGAGCAAGGCCAAAUAGGGGGCGACCGGCCGCGUCCGCUGCGGCGGAUCGCGGACGGCGGUGUCGGCCCGACGCCGCAUUAGCCCCGGGUUGGCCGCAUGAGGCGCCGGGCAACCGGCGUCCUAGAUAGAUGGACGCGCGCGACAGAACUCGGCUUAUCGGCCCACUCCACUU
rnacentral:RNase_P_RNA from 1 species